rnacentral:tRNA from 1 species
GAGGGGAUAGCUCAAGCAGUAAGAGCGCAUGCUUAGCAAGCAUGAGGUCCUGGGUUCAAUCCCCAGUACCUCCU